rnacentral:rRNA from 1 species
CCUUACUGUUGCCUCGGCGGAUCAGCCCGCUCCCGGUAAAACGGGACGGCCCGCCAGAGGACCCCUAAACUCUGUUUCUAUAUGUAACUUCUGAGUAAAACCAUAAAUAAAUCAAAACUUUCAACAACGGAUCUCUUGGUUCUGGCAUCGAUGAAGAACGCAGCAAAAUGCGAUAAGUAAUGUGAAUUGCAGAAUUCAGUGAAUCAUCGAAUCUUUGAACGCACAUUGCGCCCGCCAGUAUUCUGGCGGGCAUGCCUGUUCGAGCGUCAUUUCAACCCUCAAGCCCUCGGGUUUGGUGUUGGGGAUCGGCGAGCCUUUCUGGCAAGCCGGCCCCGAAAUCUAGUGGCGGUCUCGCUGCAGCCUCCAUUGCGUAGUAGUAAAACCCUCGCAACUGGAACGCGGCGCGGCCAAGCCGUUAAACCCCCAACUUCUGAAUGUUGACCUCGGAUCAGGUAGGAAUACCCGCUGAACUUAAGCAUAUCAAUAAGCGGAGGA